GACGAACGCUGGCGGCGUGCUUAACACAUGCAAGUCGAACGGAAAGGCCCCUUUGGGGGUCCUCGAGUGGCGAACGGGUGCGUAACACGUGAGUAACCUGCCCUUGACUUCGGGAUAACUUCAUGAAACUGGGGCUAAUACCGGAUAGGAAUCCUUGCUGCAUGGUGGGGGUUGGAAAGCUUCGGCGGUUUUGGAUGGACUCGCGGCUUAUCAGCUUGUUGGUGGGGUAGUGGCUUACCAAGGCUUUGACGGGUAGCCGGCCUGAGAGGGCGACCGGCCACAUUGGGACUGAGAGACGGCCCAGACGCCUACGGGAGGCAGCAGUGGGGAAUAUUGCACAAUGGGCGGAAGCAUGAUGCAGCAACGCCGCGUGCGGGAUGACGGCCUUCGGGUUGUAAACCGCUUUCAGCAGGGGCGAAGCUUGUGGUGACGGUACCUGCAGAAGAAGCACCGGCUAACUACGUG
rnacentral:rRNA from 1 species